GCCGGGGCGCGGAGCGGCCAGGUGGUCCCGCCUGGGAUGCGGACAGAGCCCGGGGUCGGGGCUGGGGCGGAAAGUUGCCCUGUAGAUCGCUGUACAGUACGGACCAGGCGUGGAGUGUUGCGGCGGGGUCUCUUUUUGGCACUCCGGCUGCUAGUUGUGUCUUCAGAUAACGAAGAUGUUCGUAAUAAGUGGGCAGAGCAAGAUUAAAUAAAGUUCUGAGAGCAGAGAUAAACACGAGCAGUGUAGUGCUUUUAAAGGUCUGUGAGUUGAGCACUGACAGCUUUCUGGGGCGUGAAAACGGCGGUCAUGCUCUGAAGAUCAUAAAGUGAAAGCUAAGAAUUGCCCAGGAGCGUCACUAGACUCGGUUUGUCCUCCCGUACUGUAAACCUUGCCACAUACUUCUUGUCUUUAAGUCGCUCUGGAUCUGUCACCUGUUGUCCAAAGUUUAUUUGUACUUUAAGCCUUUCUUGUUGCUGAAAAGCUUUCUCCGUGUAACAGAAAGUCUGAGCUUGUUUUAAGUAGUAAAAACUUACUGUUACAAGCCUGGUCCUAUGAAACAGCAAUGACAGAUUAGGAUACCGCCAUGAGUACUUUUUUGACCUGGACUAGCACUGAGAACUGGCUGCUUUUGGUUCCAGAUCAAAUAUGAACAAACACAGCUUUCCUCUUAGGCUGUCUGAAGACAGGCUGAGAGGUUGAGGCUGUUAAGCCUGGAGAAGAUAAGGCUCUGGGAAAACUUCCUUCAACUCUCCAGUAGCUAAAGAGAGGCACACAAGAGCUGGAGACAGACUUUUUAGGAUAUGCAAUGAAUAAUAGGCCAAGGGGUAAUAUAGUGGGUAGAUUUAGAUGGGAUAUUAGGAAAAAAUUCUUCAUUGUGAGGGUGAUGGGGCUCUGGAACAGGUUGCCCAAAAAAGCUAUGGAUGCCCACUUCGUGGAAAGGUACAAGGCCAGGUUGGGUGGGCCUUGAGCAACCUGUCUAGUGGGAGGUGUUCCUGCCCAUGGGAGGGAGUUUGGAAUUUGAUGAUCUUUAAGGUUCCUUCCACCACAAGCCAUUUUAUGAUUGCCAAAGACAGAUUGCAAUAGAACAAAUACUGUAUUUGAGAAGUGAUUUGAACCCUAAUUCUUGAGUAAUCCCACUGGUUUUGGGGAGAACACUUAAGAGUCCUUGCAGGAUUUAGAACGAUAUUUCUGUCUCAAGUAAUGACUACGUAAUUUGUAAGUUCUCCUCCUUUUAGUUCAAAUGUUAUUCUAUUUGACACAAUGCUUAUUGUACCCUAUGUACAGAUCUAGAAUGUUGUGUGUCUUUUAGCCUUAGGAAAAUAAAGUUUGUUUUGGUAUAGUAAGA